rnacentral:lncRNA from 1 species
CCAGGCCAUAACAUGUUUCAAGAAAAUGAAGUCCUUUGUUACAGAAAUGCAUAUGCAGUCGCAUGGCAUCAGAGAAACUAGACAAUAUAGAUCGUUAUGACAUCUUAACUCUGGCAGUUAGCUACAGUUCGGUCAUACUGUUCUAUGCUAGUUAUGAAAUGCCAUUUAGCGAUCAACGCUGCACAGAAGGACUCAGCCUAGAACACAAAGACUUAUCUGGAAAGUGUUCUUAUGCAACAGAGAACUGGAAAAAAAAAAAAAAAGCUACUCCUAAUUUUCCCCGAAUUCUCCAAUCAUCCUUCUGUGUACAUCCGAAGAUGUACAAGAUCCUUUAUAUCUUCAAAAUAAGACAACAUGGCUGGAAUAAAGAGUUCAUCUUCUUGGAGGAGCACAAAGAACAUGUAGAGACCUUUGUACAGAAGCAUAUAACUGUGAAAGAUUUUAAAUGACCAAGAAUCCAGUAUGUGUAACAUAAGUAAGGUACUUUCCUCCAGUUCAAACUGUU